rnacentral:rRNA from 1 species
CCUACGGGUGGCAGCAGUGGGGAAUAUUGGGCAAUGGGCGCAAGCCUGACCCAGCAACGCCGCGUGAGGGAAGAAGGCUUUCGGGUUGUAAACUUCUUUUGUCAGGGACGAAGCAAGUGACGGUACCGUACGAAUAAGCCACGGCUAACUACGUGCCAGCCGCCGCGGUAAUACGUAGGUGGCAAUCGUUAUCCGGAUUUACUGGUUGUAAGGGGGGAGUAGGCGGGGAAGCAAGUCAGAUGUGAAAACCACGGGCUCAACCUGUGGACUGCAUUUGAAACUGUGUGUCUUGAGUGCUGGAGAGGCAAUCGGAAUUCCGUGUGUAGCGGGGAAAUGCGUAGAUAUACGGAGGAACACCAGUGGCGAAGGCGGAUUGCUGGACAGUAACUGACGCUGAGGCGCGAAAGCGUGGGGAGCAAACAGGAUUAGAUACCCGGGUAGUC